rnacentral:rRNA from 1 species
CCGCAAUGGACGAAAGUCUGACGGAGCACGCCGUGUGAAUGAAGAAGCCGAAAGUUGUAAAAUUCUUUUGCAGAUGAAGAAUAAGAAAAGAGGAAUGCUUCUUUGAUGACGGUAGUCUUGCGAAUAAGCCCCGGCUAAUUACGUGCCAGCAGCCGCGGUAACACGUAAGGGGCGAGCGUUGUUCGGAAUUAUUGGGCGUAAAGGGUAUGUAGGCGGUUAGGUAAGCCUGGUGUGAAAUCUACGAGCUCAACUCGUAAACUGCAUUGGGUACUGCUUGACUUGAAUCACGGAGGGGAAACCGGAAUUCCAAGUGUAGGGGUGGAAUCUGUAGAUAUUUGGAAGAACACCGGUGGCGAAGGCGGGUUUCUGGCCGAUGAUUGACGCUGAUAUACGAAGGUGCGGGGAGCAAACAGGAUUAGAUACCCUGGUAGUCCGCACAGUAAACGAUGUACACUAGGUGUCGGGGCAAGAGCUUCGGUGCCGACGCAGACGCAUUAAGUGUACCGCCUGGGAAGCAUGCCGCAAGGUGAAACUCAAAGGAAUUGACGGGGCCCAACAAGCGGUGGAGCAUGUGGUUUAAUUCGAUGAUACGCGA